rnacentral:rRNA from 1 species
GCUUGCUUCUCUGAUGUUAGCGGCGGACGGGUGAGUAACACGUGGAUAACCUACCUAUAAGACUGGGAUAACUUCGGGAAACCGGAGCUAAUACCGGAUAAUAUUUUGAACCGCAUGGUUCAAAAGUGAAAGACGGUCUUGCUGUCACUUAUAGAUGGAUCCGCGCUGCAUUAGCUAGUUGGUAAGGUAACGGCUUACCAAGGCAACGAUGCAUAGCCGACCUGAGAGGGUGAUCGGCCACACUGGAACUGAGACACGGUCCAGACUCCUACGGGAGGCAGCAGUAGGGAAUCUUCCGCAAUGGGCGAAAGCCUGACGGAGCAACGCCGCGUGAGUGAUGAAGGUCUUCGGAUCGUAAAACUCUGUUAUUAGGGAAGAACAUAUGUGUAAGUAACUGUGCACAUCUUGACGGUACCUAAUCAGAAAGCCACGGCUAACUACGUGCCAGCAGCCGCGGUAAUACGUAGGUGGCAAGCGUUAUCCGGAAUUAUUGGGCGUAAAGCGCGCGUAGGCGGUUUUUUAAGUCUGAUGUGAAAGCCCACGGCUCAACCGUGGAGGGUCAUUGGAAACUGGAAAACUUGAGUGCAGAAGAGGAAAGUGGAAUUCCAUGUGUAGCGGUGAAAUGCGCAGAGAUAUGGAGGAACACCAGUGGCGAAGGCGACUUUCUGGUCUGUAACUGACGCUGAUGUGCGAAAGCGUGGGGAUCAAACAGGAUUAGAUACCCUGGUAGUCCACGCCGUAAACGAUGAGUGCUAAGUGUUAGGGGGUUUCCGC